rnacentral:rRNA from 1 species
AUGAACGCUGGCGGCGUGCCUAAUCCCUGCAAGUCGCGCGAACAGACGAGGAGCUUGCUCCUCUGACGUUAGCGGCGGACGGGUGAGUAACACGUGGAUAACCUACCUAUAAGACUGGGAUAACUUCGGGAAACCGGAGCUAAUACCGGAUAAUAUAUUGAACCGCAUGGUUCAAUAGUGAAAGACGGUUUUGCUGUCACUUAUAGAUGGAUCCGCGCCGCAUUAGCUAGUUGGUAAGGUAACGGCUUACCAAGGCAACGAUGCGUAGCCGACCUGAGAGGGUGAUCGGCCACACCGGAACUGAGACACGGUCCAGACUCCUACGGGAGGCAGCAGUAGGGAAUCUUCCGCAAUGGGCGAAAGCCUGACGGAGCAACGCCGCGUGAGUGAUGAAGGUCUUCGGAUCGUAAAACUCUGUUAUUAGGGAAGAACAAAUGUGUAAGUAACUAUGCACGUCUUGACGGUACCUAAUCAGAAAGCCACGGCUAACUACGUG